AUGUGUUGGAACAUGUGUGGGCUUAACUAUCAUGCCAAGCAUGUUGCUGUUCACAACAUGAUCAUAGCGAUCGUUCCUUGGAUCACAUGUCUCUAGGCAACACAACUGACUUCGAUCUUGUCCUCCCUUGUUUUGGAAACUCUUGGACCACAAUUCAAUGACUUCUUUUAUUUACCAGCGGAUGACACUAGAGGAAGGAUCCUCCGUGCUUGGAAACAAACCAAGAUUGCUCUCUCCAAUCCCUCGAUGGGUUUGUACCGUGUCACAAUGCUCGUGUCCGCCCCCUGCUGGUGA
rnacentral:rRNA from 1 species